rnacentral:rRNA from 1 species
UACGGGGGGAGCAAGCGUUGUUCGGAUUUACUGGGCGUAAAGGGCGCGUAGGCGGCCAGCGCAAGUCAGUUGUGAAAUCUCCGGGCUUAACUCGGAACGGUCAACUGAUACUGCGCGGCUAGAGUGCGGAAGGGGCAACUGGAAUUCUCGGUGUAGCGGUGAAAUGCGUAGAUAUCGAGAGGAACACCUGCGGCGAAGGCGGGUUGCUGGGCCGACACUGACGCUGAUGCGCGAAAGCCAGGGAAGCGAACGGG